CAAUACAGCUGAUAGCAACCACAUACAUAUUACUAAAACCCUACAUGUAUUUGUUGUUGCCUUUGCUCCAAACAUCACGUCAAAAUCAGCUGUUUGUUUUCAGGGUGAUUUGCUUGUGAAACGUACGCUGGAAAGUCACGAAAUAGAAAGUCGCCACAUUUCCCACAGUUUAUUGAAGAUUUAGUAUGUAGCUUAUGUAUGAAUUGGAUGUUCUUGUGGAUAGGAAAAAACUCGUCUACGUUUGCGGUAUUUCAAUUAUUAACAUAUAUUUCAGAAUUUGCCACGGGCAUGCAUAAGGUGAAAUUGACUGUAGAGAGUGAAGUUUGGACACGGAAAAGUUUAAAACAGAGAAACAUAACGCAAAGAAACUUCGAAACAAGGGCAAAAUUAAAGUCUCACUGCGUACUGAAAGUAAUGAUAUUGAUGGCUAUCAGAAAUCCACCUUGGCUACUAAUGACUAUGAUGACUUCAUACUAAAUACAGUUGAGAUGCACAUACCAUAUUGCAUAAAAAUGUUUGCUUGAUGUUUUUUGUGGAGAAUCGAUCGCUAUGAUUUACAUCUAAAACUGUACACUUCAAAAUUCUGGAUAUCAAAUGUUUAACAUGCUUGUAAAUUCCUUUUAUAUAAUUCAAC